rnacentral:snoRNA from 1 species
UCUCUCCAGAUUCCUGACCCGUCAAACCUACACACUGGUAUGAGUGGUUUAAAAAGGAGGAAAAGUAAAAAUAAAACAAACUUCUUUUUGACACCUAAGCUAGCUCAAACAAGC